rnacentral:rRNA from 1 species
GGGUUGUGAGGUUAAGCGACUAAGCGUACACGGUGGAUGCCCUGGCAGUCAGAGGCGAUGAAGGGCGUGCUAAUCUGCGAUAAGCGCCGGUAAGGUGAUAUGAACCGUUAUAACCGGCGAUACCCGAAUGGGGAAACCCAGUGUGAUUCGUCACACUAUCAUUAACUGAAUCCAUAGGUUAAUGAGGCGAACCGGGGGAACUGAAACAUCUAAGUACCCCGAGGAAAAGAAAUCAACCGAGAUUCCCCCAGUAGCGGCGAGCGAACGGGGAGGAGCCCAGAGCCUGAAUCAGCAUGUGUGUUAGUGGAAGCGUCUGGAAAGGCGCGCGAUACAGGGUGACAGCCCCGUACACAAAAGCGCAUGUGCUGUGAGCUCGAUGAGUAGGGCGGGACACGUGGUAUCCUGUCUGAAUAUGGGGGGACCAUCCUCCAAGGCUAAAUACUCCUGACUGACCGAUAGUGAACCAGUACCGUGAGGGAAAGGCGAAAAGAACCCCGGCGAGGGGAGUGAAAAAGAACCUGAAACCGUGUACGUACAAGCAGUGGGAGCACAGGUUUACCUGUGUGACUGCGUACCUUUUGUAUAAUGGGUCAGCGACUUAUAUUCUGUAGCAAGGUUAACCGAAUAGGGGAGCCGGAGGGAAACCGAGUCUUAAUUGGGCGUUAAGUUGCAGGGUAUAGACCCGAAACCCGGUGAUCUAGCCAUGGGCAGGUUGAAGGUUGGGUAACACUAACUGGAGGACCGAACCGACUAAUGUUGAAAAAU